CAUGCAAGUCGAACGGUGAAGCCCAGCUUGCUGGGUGGAUCAGUGGCGAACGGGUGAGUAACACGUGAGCAAUCUGCCCCUGACUCUGGGAUAAGCGCUGGAAACGGCGUCUAAUACUGGAUACGAACCGUGGAGGCAUCUUCAACGGUUGGAAAGAUUUUUUGGUCAGGGAUGAGCUCGCGGCCUAUCAGCUUGUUGGUGAGGUAAUGGCUCACCAAGGCGUCGACGGGUAGCCGGCCUGAGAGGGUGACCGGCCACACUGGGACUGAGACACGGCCCAGACUCCUACGGGAGGCAGCAGUGGGGAAUAUUGCACAAUGGGCGCAAGCCUGAUGCAGCAACGCCGCGUGAGGGAUGACGGCCUUCGGGUUGUAAACCUCUUUUAGCAGGGAAGAAGCGAAAGUGACGGUACCUGCAGAAAAAGCGCCGGCUAACUACGUGCCAGCAGCCGCGGUAAUACGUAGGGCGCAAGCGUUAUCCGGAAUUAUUGGGCGUAAAGAGCUCGUAGGCGGUUUGUCGCGUCUGCUGUGAAAUCCCGAGGCUCAACUUCGGGUCUGCAGUGGGUACGGGCAGACUAGAGUGCGGUAGGGGAGAUUGGAAUUCCUGGUGUAGCGGUGGAAUGCGCAGAUAUCAGGAGGAACACCGAUGGCGAAGGCAGAUCUCUGGGCCGUAACUGACGCUGAGGAGCGAAAGGGUGGGGAGCAAACAGGCUUAGAUACCCUGGUAGUCCACCCCGUAAACGUUGGGAACUAGUUGUGGGGUCCAUUCCACGGAUUCCGUGACGCAGCUAACGCAUUAAGUUCCCCGCCUGGGGAGUACGGCCGCAAGGCUAAAACUCAAAGGAAUUGACGGGGACCCGCACAAGCGGCGGAGCAUGCGGAUUAAUUCGAUGCAACGCGAAGAACCUUACCAAGGCUUGACAUAUACGAGAACGCUGCAGAAAUGUAGAACUCUUUGGACACUCGUAAACAGGUGGUGCAUGGUUGUCGUCAGCUCGUGUCGUGAGAUGUUGGGUUAAGUCCCGCAACGAGCGCAACCCUCGUUCUAUGUUGCCAGCACGUAAUGGUGGGAACUCAUGGGAUACUGCCGGGGUCAACUCGGAGGAAGGUGGGGAUGACGUCAAAUCAUCAUGCCCCUUAUGUCUUGGGCUUCACGCAUGCUACAAUGGCCGGUACAAAGGGCUGCAAUACCGUAAGGUGGAGCGAAUCCCAAAAAGCCGGUCCCAGUUCGGAUUGAGGUCUGCAACUCGACCUCAUGAAGUCGGAGUCGCUAGUAAUCGCAGAUCAGCAACGCUGCGGUGAAUACGUUCCCGGGUCUUGUACACACCGCCCGUCAAGUCAUGAAAGUCGGUAACACCUGAAGCCGGUGGCCCAACCCUUGUGGA
rnacentral:rRNA from 1 species